rnacentral:rRNA from 1 species
UGGGGAAUUUUGGACAAUGGGGGAAACCCUGAUCCAGCCAUCCCGCGUGUGCAAUGAAGGCCUUCGGGUUGUAAAGCACUUUUGGCAGGAAAGAAACGUCAUGGGUUAAUACCCCGUGAAACUGACGGUACCUGCAGAAUAAGCACCGGCUAACUACGUGCCAGCAGCCGCGGUAAUACGUAGGGUGCAAGCGUUAAUCGGAAUUACUGGGCGUAAAGCGUGCGCAGGCGGUUCGGAAAGAAAGAUGUGAAAUCCCAGAGCUCAACUUUGGAACUGGAUAUUUAACUACCGGGCUAGGGUGUGUCAGAGGGAGGUGGAAUUCCGCGUGUAGCAGUGAAAUGCGUAGAUAUGCGGAGGAAAACCGAUGGCGAAGGCAGCCUCCUGGGAUAACACUGACGCUCAUGCACGAAAGCGUGGGGAGCAAACAGG